rnacentral:rRNA from 1 species
UACGAAGGGGGCUAGCGUUGCUCGGAAUCACUGGGCGUAAAGCGCACGUAGGCGGAUUGCUAAGUCAGGGGUGAAAUCCUGGAGCUCAACUCCAGAACUGCCCUUGAUACUGGCGGUCUCGAGUCCGGGAGAGGUGAGUGGAACUGCGAGUGUAGAGGUGAAAUUCGUAGAUAUUCGCAAGAACACCAGUGGCGAAGGCGGCUCACUGGCCCGGUACUGACGCUAAGGUGCGAAAGCGUGGGGAGCAAACAGG